CUUCACCGAGCCCAGCCGCAGCGGUCGGCCGUCUCGGCGGUGCCGGCCGUAGGCGGCCAGCAGCGCCUGGGCCUC
rnacentral:antisense_RNA from 1 species